rnacentral:rRNA from 1 species
AAAUUGAAGAGUUUGAUCAUGGCUCAGAUUGAACGCUGGCGGCAGGCCUAACACAUGCAAGUCGAGCGGUAGCACAGAGAGCUUGCUCUCAGGUGACGAGCGGCGG